ACUCCUACGGGAGGCAGCAGUAGGGAAUCUUCCACAAUGGACGCAAGUCUGUUGGAGCAACGCCGCGUGAGUGAAGAAGGGUUUCGGCUCGUAAAGCUCUGUUGUUAAAGAAGAACGUGGGUGAGAGUAACUGUUCACCCAGUGACGGUAUUUAACCAGAAAGCCACGGCUAACUACGUGCCAGCAGCCGCGGUAAUACGUAGGUGGCAAGCGUUAUCCGGAUUUAUUGGGCGUAAAGCGAGCGCAGGCGGUCUUUUAAGUCUAAUGUGAAAGCCUUCGGCUCAACCGAAGAAGUGCAUUGGAAACUGGGAGACUUGAGUGCAGAAGAGGACAGUGGAACUCCAUGUGUAGCGGUGAAAUGCGUAGAUAUAUGGAAGAACACCAGUGGCGAAGGCGGCUGUCUGGUCUGUAACUGACGCUGAGGCUCGAAAGCAUGGGUAGCGAACAGGAUUAGAUACCCUGGUAGGAUAGCG
rnacentral:rRNA from 1 species